rnacentral:rRNA from 1 species
ACACAACUUUCGGMAAUGAAUAUCUGGGUUCUCGCAUCAUUAAAAAGCGCACCGAAAGGCAAUAUGGGGGGCGAAUUGCAAAAUCCCGUGAACCUUCAAGUCUUUGAACGCAAGUUGCGCCCAAGGCCAACCGGUUGAGGGCACGUCCGCCUGGGCGUCAAGC